UCCCUGGUGGCUCAUUGGUAAAGAAUCUGUCUGUGAUGCAGGAGACCCAGGUUUGAUCCCUGGGUUGGGAA
rnacentral:tRNA from 1 species